AUUUCCGUGUGGGCAAAGAUUAUCUUUUGGUUCCUGAGGUUAAGGAGCCAAAUUACAGAAACAGGAGCAAAUGGCUUGAGUCUCGCUCUGAUUUCAAACAGGACUCAGCCGUGUCUGGGAGAAGUACAUGAUCGAGAUGAAGAGGAGAUCUCAUUCAGAAUGGACAGAAAUAGGCCCAUUCAAGGUACAGCACAAUGGGAACGGAGUCUCCUUUACCUUCACCAGCGUCAUCUAUCACCUACAAAGACUCAGCUCUCUCACACGCACAUGUAACCUGAUCAGUAAAUUAGCUUUAUUCUGUAAUGAGAGGGGCAAUCGUCUCCCCGACCCCCAUCCCCCACUGCUUAUAUGUGCUAUAGGCCUACCAUAAAUGGGAUCACCGUGGGGGGAAGGAGGUGGACCAAAGCACAAAGAUAAUAGUAGAGGGGUGGGCUUCAAGGCCUGUGGGAGGACCAAGACACUAUGGAAGUUUACCAGAUGGGUUUUUUUAAACAAAAAUGUUUGCUGAAUACAAUUAAAUGGCUUAAAUCUACUUCUCAGACGAAGGUUUUACAUAUUUCAUCUAUUUUGUUGUAUAUACUCCACAUUUAGUUUAUAUACUCAUGUGCAAAAGUUUGGGUACCGAUGGUCUAAUGACAUAUUUUGUUAAUUUAAUUAAAGUAAAAAUAAGUUCUACACCUCCUCUACAGACAACUGCACAUUUUAAUGUACAAUUACUGUUUAUUUGCUUAAUUUGGCACUUUAAAGCAAAAGCGCAGCCUGUGUGAAACUUAUGGCACGGUUUGUAUUUUGUGUUUUAUAUUUUUCCCAACAAGUUACCGUAGAAAAUGAAAAAGAACAUAGUUUUACUGGGGCUGUUUCAAUUUUUGCAUAUGACUGUGGUGGAUGUAUAUAGUUAUACAUCAUACAUCAUCAUACAUGACGUGUUUAGUUAUAUAUUACAUGUUUUCUUUUUGUAGUUUGUACAUUUGGCCAUUUAUGUAUGCACCAAGACCAAUUCUUAGCAAUUGUUUGGCCAGUAAAAGUAAAAUUCUAUGGGUAGUAGUAAAAAAAAGUCUUAUUUCUCAUUGAAAAAGUCAAUAAGCUCAAUCCCAGAUCCCAAGUGUCUGCAAAGUACCACCAUUUCUAUCAAGAACAUGUCAAAUAACUGAUAAUAACUGAUAUUGUUUGGAACUGGCUUGAAAAAGCACUGAAUUCACUUGAAUUCUUUGAAAAAGUAAAAAUAUAUUCAACACAGCUUUCAGUUUACUCACUUUUUUAACUGUAUUGACAUACUUAAUACUUAGUUCAUGUAUUCGUGUGAAAAUGCACACGUUUAAAUCAAUCCAGUCCAAUGCAUUACUUUUUUCUCUGUGUAGAAAAAGGGAGGGAAAAGGCCUUGCUAGCUUUGACCUGCCCAAAAACAGCCCUCCCCCCCUCACAAUGGUAACUCAAUGCCCCUGGGAGAGCGCAGCCCGAGAGUAGGAGGGCCCUGCUGAUCCGCUCAUUAAAUAUGCAUCAUAAUUAAGGGGCAGAGAGACGACGUAGAGGCUUCGGAGUUCAUUACCACAGCGUGAUUAAAAUAAUGGCAUUGUGUAGAGGCUGAUAUGGGUGUCUUGCUUAUGUUUACGACCCAUAACGAUAAUUAUUAAAGUUUGUGAUUAAACAGAGCCAAUGAUUAAGAGUGCUUAUCCUCCAACGUGAACAUUAACGCAAAGGAAACAGAGCUGUUUAUUAGGCUCAAGGGUCGGUUCAGGCCGCAUUAUGGAAAUUAGCAUAUCUGCAGAUGAAUUUAAUACAGUGGGUGUGUGGUGCUGAGUCAAACGUCCACGGAUACACAAUGAAGAGUUCAGUGAGAAACAAGUCACCGUGAGGAAACUCCUCCGUUGCGGCUCCGGGGAAGAACCCAGAGAGGGAUCGGCUAAUCAGGCCUGAAUGUGUCAGGGGCCUGGAGACCAUCUGUGCCAGACACAGAGUCAUUAGUGGGAGUAAACCUGAUCAACACUCAGAAGACCAUGAGACGCAAAACAGAGAGAGAUAAUAUGGCAAAGACUUCUUCAAACAGAGCCAGUGACACAGUAAUAAUGCUCUUUAUUCUCAAUGUGAGAUAUAAAACGUGAGGAUUUACAACAGCAGGCUAUAUUAAUAAUCAAAGUUAUUUUUCUUUGUACUUGCACAAAGACAAACAGCACUGCACGUGUAAAAGUUUGAACACACCUGGUCAAAUGACAUGUUUUGUUGUCUUUCUAAGCGAAAAUAAGUUCACACAUCCUUACUUAACAUGGCAUUUUCUUUUGCACAGGCCACAUUUUAAUUUUUUGUGCUUCACAAGAUGUUAAAUUCAUCACUUAAACAGUAAUUGUGCAUUAAAACGUGCAGAAGUGUGUUCUCUGUACUACAGGGGUGUCAAAGUCAACCACUAAAAGGGCCAUAUAAAAAAAUCUCAAUAAAUCUGUGGGCCAGCUGUGUUUUUACUUUAUUUUUACUUAACAUUUUGACCCCAACUGGCUACUGUUUAUUUAAAAUAUGCUAAACCUACACUAAAAUAUACACUAAAAUCUUAAACGAUUAAAAAAUAAUUUAAAAUAAAAACAAACUGUUUUAUAUAACAGUAGACUAUGUUAGCUGCAGAUUUAACUGUUAAACCUCUUUAAAUGUCCCUAAUGUAC